rnacentral:lncRNA from 1 species
GUUUUGUUUUGUUUUCAAAUUCAUUAAUUUCUGCUUUUUUCUUCAUCAUUCUCUUCAUUCUGUUUGAAAAUAUAUGAAGCAAAAAUGAACGGAAUUGAAAGAAACAGAUAAAUCCACAAUUACAGCUGGAGACUUCAACACACCUUUCUCAAAAACUGCCAGCAGAAGUAGAUAAAAAUCACAGUGAUACAGAAGAUCUCAGCAGCACCCUCCACCAACAGGACAUAGCUGACAUUCAGGGAAUGCCACCUAACAGCAGCAGGACACCGUGCCUUCAAGUGCCCACAGAGGUACCACAGGCUUAGACCCUGUCCUGGCCCAAGAUAGUGAACUUCAGAAAGCUUAAAAGAAUUGAAUUAUGUAUGUUCUGCAUUCUGACCACCACAGAACCAACUAGAAAUCAGUAACAGAAGGAUAGCAGGAAAACCUCCAAACACAGAAAUUAAAUCAUGUGAUCCUAAGUAACCCACAGGCCAAGGAGGAAGUCCCACGAGAGAAGAAUGCAUUGGACUGGAUCAAAAUGAAAAUACAACAUAUCAAAAUUUGUGAGACAGAAUUUCUCAGCUAAAGUAGUGUCAUGUGAGAACUGCGGAGCAAUAAAUUACCUAUUAAGAAAAAAAAACCCUCAAAUAAAUAAUCUAAGUGCCCACCUCCACAAAUUAAAAAGAAGAUUGCAAAAAAAACUCAAAGCAUGCAGAGAAAAGGAAAUGACACGGACAAGAGCAAACACCAUGGACCUGAGAACAGAAAAACAAGGAGCUGAUAUUUGAAGAGGUUAACUAAAUUGGUAAACUGUGAGGAAAACAGAAAAUGAGUUAGAAUACCAGAAAUGAAAUGAAAGAUACCACUACUGAGCCUGCAGACAUUGAAAGGGUAAUAUUAUCCACAACUCCACACAUAUAGAUUUGAGAACUUAACUGAAAUGGACCAAUUUCUCAAAAUCCCCAAAUACCAGAAUUCACCAUGAAGGAGAUAAUUGAAAAAAAAAAAGUUACAUUUGUAAUUUUACUCCCUGCCCCCAAAAAAACCAUUCUCGGUGUAUAUGACUUUGCUGGAAAAUUCUAUCAAAUAUUGAAAGACUAAUUAACAUAAAUUUAACUGUUUUUUCAAAAGGUAGAAAGGAACAAACAUCCCCCAACACAUUUCAUGAAUUUAGGAUUAGCCUGAUAUCAAAAUCAGAUGACACAGGAAAAGAAAACCACAUCUCCCAUGAAAAUACACAGAAACCCCUAAUAAAAUAUUAUCCAAUUAAAUUUAUUGUUACAUAAAAAGAAUGUUAUACCACAACCAAGCAAGAGUUAUUUCCAGGUAUACAAUCUUAGUUUGGUACUUAAAAAUUGAUCUAUUUAAUCCACCAGGUUAACAGGCUUAAAGGUCACAUGAUCAUAUAAAUCAAUGCAGAAAAUUGGACAAAAUUUAACACCUAUUCAAGAUAGAAAAACUUCCUGAAAAUUAAAGUACUGGGGAAUUUUCUUGAUAAUAAUCUCAGCAAAAACCACAUGCUAAUGUUAUGUUAUGGUGAAAGAUUGAAUGCCUCUAAGAUUGGGAACAAGACAGUAUGUCUACUUUCCCCACUCUUUUCAACAUGUAGCUAAUUCAAUAAAUCAAGAAAAUGAAGGUAAAAGUUACAUAAAGGAAUAAAUUAAAAUACCCAUGUAAAAAUUUGCAAGUGCUUCAAAAAAUGAAAUACGUAGUUAUAAAUCUACCCAAAUAUGUCCUCAAUCUGUACACUGAAAACUAUGUAGUAUUGAUGAAAGAAACCAAAAGGUGCCUAAGCUACUGUGGAGACAUACCAUGUUCAUGGAUGUAAUAAUGGCUGCCAUGCGUAAGCUACUGGGGAGAAAUACCAUGUUCAUGGAUGUAAUGGCUGCCAUGCUGAAGCUACUGGGGAGACAUACCAUGUUCAUGGAUGUAAUGGCUGCCAUGGUCGAAACAUUCCCCAAACUUCAUGUGUUGAAACUUAACCAAGAGUGAGAUUGUAUUAGGAGGUGGGAACUUCAUGGACCUUAGAGUCAUGAAAGUUCUGGCCUUAUGGAUGGAAUUAGCAAUCUUAUGAAAGGAUAUGAGGUGAAUUUGCAUUUCCAUCCCUUCUUCCAUGGAUGUAGCUUCUGUGCUCUCUAGAGGACACAGUACCCAGCACCAAGGAGCUUUCAGCAGACACUGAACCUGCCAACACCUUGAUCUAGGAUUUCCUAACAUCUGGAAGCAUGAAAAAUCAAUUUCUUUUUUCAUUUUCAUUUUAGUUUGUUAUAUAUGACAACAGAAUGCAUUACAAUUUGUAUUACACAUAUACCGCACAUAUCUCUUUUAUAUUUCUGGUUGUACACAAAGUAGAGUCCCAUCCUUUGUGUCUUCAUACAGGUACUUAGAGUAAUGAUGACAUUGAAUUCCACUGUCUUUCCUACCCCUAUACCCCUCUCCCCUUUUCCCUUUUG